rnacentral:tRNA from 1 species
GGGGCGGUAGCUCAGCUGGGAGAGCACCUGGUUUGCAACCAGGGGGUCGGGGGUUCGAGUCCCCUCCGCUCCAC